rnacentral:rRNA from 1 species
GAUGAACGCUGGCGGCGUGCUUAACACAUGCAAGUCGAACGGAAAGGCUCCUGCUUGCAGGGGUACUCGAGUGGCGAACGGGUGAGUAACACGUGGGUGAUCUGCCCUGCACUUCGGGAUAAGCCUGGGAAACUGGGUCUAAUACCGGAUAGGACCACAUUUUGGAUGGUGUGGUGGAAAGUUUUUCGGUGUGGGAUGAGCUCGCGGCCUAUCAGCUUGUUGGUGGGGUAAUGGCCUACCAAGGCGUCGACGGGUAGCCGGCCUGAGAGGGUGUACGGCCACAUUGGGACUGAGGUACGGCCCAGACUCCUACAGGGGGCAGCGGUGGGGAAUAUUCCACAAUGGGCGCACGCCUUUUGCAGCGUCGCCGCGUGGGGGAUGACGGCCUUCGGGUUGUAAACUCCUUUCGCUAGGUACGUAGCGCCAGUGACGGUACCUGCAGAAGAAGCACCGGCUAACUACGUG